rnacentral:rRNA from 1 species
GACGAACGCUGGCGGCGUGCUUAACACAUGCAAGUCGAACGGUAAGGCCCUUCGGGGUACACGAGUGGCGAACGGGUGAGUAACACGUGGGUGAUCUGCCCUGCACUUCGGGAUAAGCCUGGGAAACUGGGUCUAAUACCGGAUAGGACCACUGCCUGCAUGGGUGGUGGUGGAAAGCUUUUGCGGUGUGGGAUGGGCCCGCGGCCUAUCAGCUUGUUGGUGGGGUGAUGGCCUACCAAGGCGACGACGGGUAGCCGGCCUGAGAGGGUGACCGGCCACACAGGGACUGAGAGACGGCCCAGACUCCUACGGGAGGCAGCAGUGGGGAAUCUUGCGCAAUGGUCGGAAGACUGACGCAGCGACGCCGCGUGUGGGAGGACGCCUUUCGGGGUGUAAACCACUGUUGCCCGGGACGAACUGGCUUAUUCGUAAGCCCUGACGGUACCGGGUGAGGAAGCACCGGCUAACUCCGUGCCAGCAGCCGCAGUAACAC